rnacentral:rRNA from 1 species
UACGGAGGAUCCGAGCGUUAUCCGGAUUUAUUGGGUUUAAAGGGAGCGUAGGUGGAUUGUUAAGUCAGUUGUGAGAGUUUGCGGCUCAACCGUAAAAUUGCAGUUGAAACUGGCAGUCUUGAGUACAGUAGAGGUGGGCGGAAUUCGUGGUGUAGCGGUGAAAUGCUUAGAUAUCACGAAGAACUCCGAUUGCGAAGGCAGCUCACUGGACUGCAACUGACACUGAGGCUCGAAAGUGUGGGUAUCAAACAGG